rnacentral:rRNA from 1 species
GCGUUGUUCGGAAUUACUGGGCGUAAAGCGCGUGUAGGUGGCGAUGUAAGUCGGAUGUGAAAUCCCUCGGCUUAACCGAGGAAGUGCAUUCGAUACUGCGUUGCUUGAGUACCGGAGGGGAUGGUGGAAUUCCCGGUGUAGAGGUGAAAUUCGUAGAUAUCGGGAGGAACACCUGUGGCGAAGGCGACCAUCUGGACGGUCACUGACACUGAGACGCGAAAGCGUG